rnacentral:rRNA from 1 species
AACGAAUGAUGGCGGAAGGAAGAACACAGGCAAGUCGAACGAGACCUUCGGGUCUAGUGGCGCACGGGUGCGUAACGCGUGGGAACCUGCCCUUAGGUUCGGAAUAACUCCCCGAAAGGGGUGCUAAUACCGGAUAAUGUCUUCGGACCAAAGAUUUAUCGCCUUUGGAUGGGCCCGCGUUGGAUUAGCUAGUUGGUAGGGUAAAAGCCUACCAAGGCGACGAUCCAUAGCUGGUCUGAGAGGAUGAUCAGCCACACUGGGACUGAGACACGGCCCAGACUCCUACGGGAGGCAGCAGUGGGGAAUAUUGGACAAUGGGCGAAAGCCUGAUCCAGCAAUGCCGCGUGAGUGAUGAAGGCCUUAGGGUUGUAAAGCUCUUUUACCCGGGAUGAUAAUGACAGUACCGGGAGAAUAAGCUCCGGCUAACUCCGUG